GAUGAACGCUGGCGGCGUGCUUAACACAUGCAAGUCGAACGGUGAAGCAGAGCUUGCUCUGUGGAUCAGUGGCGAACGGGUGAGUAACACGUGAGCAACCUGCCCCUGACUCUGGGAUAAGCGCUGGAAACGGCGUCUAAUACCGGAUAUGAGCUGCGAUCGCAUGGUCAGCAGUUGGAAAGAUUUUUCGGUCUGGGAUGGGCGCACGGCCUAUCAGCUUGUUGGUGAGGUAAUGGGUCACCAAGGCGUCGACGGGUAGCCGGCCUGAGAGGGUGACCCGCCACACUGGGCCUGAGGAACGGACCAGAGUCCUACGGGGGGCAGCAGUGGGGAAUAUUGCCCAAUGGGCGAAAGCCUGAUGCAGCAACGCCGCGUGAGGGAUGACGGCCUUCGGGUUGUAAACCUCUUUUAGCAGGGAAGAAGCGAAAGUGACGGUACCUGCAGAAAAAGCGCCGGCUAACUACGUGCCAGCCGCCGCAGUAACAC
rnacentral:rRNA from 1 species